UGGCUCAGCAGUUAAGAGCACUGGCUGCUCUUCCAGAGGACCUGGGUUCGAUUCCCAG
rnacentral:tRNA from 1 species